rnacentral:rRNA from 1 species
CGGGAAGAGCUCAAAUUUAAAAUCUGGCGGUGUAUUCCGUCCGAGUUGUAGUCUAGAGAAGCGCUUUCUGUGCCGGACCGUGUACAAGUCCCUUGGAACAGGGCGUCGUAGAGGGUGAGAAUCCCGUCUUUGACACGGACCCCCGGUGCUGUGUGAUGCGCUCUCGAA